AACAACUUUUCUCUUCUUUGAAGCAGGAGGCAAGUAUGAAUAGAGAAGGACAGAGAGAUGGAGGCUGCCUUUCUCUUGCUGGAAAGAUGUGGUGUGCACAAGGCCAUGCAUACAGGAAUACAGAUGGGAAUAAGAGGGCAGCAAACACCUAGGAAGAAGAUCUGAAUAAAGAGGAACCAUCUGCAUAAAGAAUCACCCAGGCUUUCCUUCCUUUCCAGAAAUCACAGAUGUCUUUUUCCAGUGAUCUCCGCUCAUUGUUCUCAGAGCAUCAUCCUGCUUCUACCAGUGAGGACUCACUGACACCAUGCAAAACUUGAUGGACUUAGGAAGAGGUGGCCUGGCUGGGUAAUAGCUGCUUGACCUCCUGCAGAAGGAAGAAGGUAUUCCCUCUGCCAGUGGAGUGCUUUUGUGAAUGGUAAGCCAUAACAAUGCAGCCUUACCUACUGGAAGGUGAGAAACCCAUCAAUUGCUAGAGAUAGCUCCUGCUCCUGAUUUCCAAAGGAAAUCUGUUAUCAUAGGCUAAGGAGAGGAUGAGGUAUAACGGGGU